rnacentral:rRNA from 1 species
CAGCAGUGGGGAAUAUUGCACAAUGGGCGCAAGCCUGAUGCAGCCAUGCCGCGUGUAUGAAGAAGGCCUUCGGGUUGUAAAGUAUUUCAGCAGUGAGGAAGGUGGGUAUGUUAAUAGCAUAUCAUUUUGACGUUAGCUGCAGAAGAAGCACCGGCUAACUCCGUGCCAGCAGCCGCGGUAAUACGGAGGGUGCGAGCGUUAAUCGGAAUUACUGGGCGUAAAGCGCAUGCAGGUGGUUUGUUAAGUCAGAUGUGAAAGCCCGGGGCUCAACCUCGGAAUUGCAUUUGAAACUGGCAAACUAGAGUACUGUAGAGGGGGUAGAAUUUCAGGUGUAGCGGUGAAAUGCGUAGAGAUCUGAAGGAAUACCGGUGGCGAAGGCGGCCCCCUCGGACAGAUACUGACACUCAGAUGCGAAAGCGUGGGGAGCAAACAGGAUUAGAUACCCUGGUAG